GUGUGUGUGUGUGUGUGUGUGUGUGUGUGUGUGUAGAUAAUAAGAUAGAUAAAACCUGUGGAAUAAAAUUAAACCCCAUUACUCUAUUCAUGUCACUCAGUUAAACAUUAAAAAACUAUUAAAAUGUACCAUAUUACUUACUGCUAGAGGAGCACACAGAGCUUUCUAUGCUCGAUGCACUGUGUUACUGUAUAAAAUUCAAAAUUAACAGAAUACUACUGCUAAAAGACUGUUGAGGAGCACAUAGAGCUUAUCUACUCUCUGUUACUAUAACCAGUUAUUUGUUUAGAAUAGCCACAGCUGAUGGUACAAAUGGCCGCUUGUAACCAUUCUUCCUUCCCAUUGGAAUUUUCUGGAUUGGUAUCAUCACUUCGGAGCACAAAGUCCAGCUGAACACCAAAAGGCAAGUGGGCUACAUGCUGCCAACUGAGUCAUGGAUAGGCAUGUGUGAACUGUGAAAAGCAGAAGAUGAAGGUCUCCCUGGCAGCUCAAACCCUCAACAACUCUGUGGCCGUGGCACUCAGCAGUUUGCGGGACAUCGGGAAUUCAGAGAUUCGAGGCUACUUCCGAGUUCGUACAGACAUCUACUUUGAGGCCCCUUGAUGAACGAAUCGUGUGAGCUGCCACGGUGCCACCCAGCUCCACUGACAAAAUAUGGACACCACUACACCAGUGCCAACCAAUCCCACCAACGAGGCGUCAUUGCCAGACGAGCCACUGCCAACCAUCCCCACCGACGAGGCCCCUUGUCAAAUGAACCAUGAACGUCGCCGUCCCCAGUCCCCAACCACUUCCUGUCAGGGAACCCUACUGGAAGCCACGACAGCCAGGAAU